AUGUAUUUUACACUGGUCGGGUUUACAGAAAGCUUACGGCUCCUGCAGCUUUCCAACAGGAUGAUGGUAGUGCUCUUGAGCAAUAUUAGAAGUUCACAUAACACCAUCAAGGCCUUUUUAUUUGCCACUAGCAAUUACUAAAGUUUCAAAAGACUGAUGAUGUCAUUUCAGUAGACAGGUUAAAAUUCGCCAUAAUUGUGCAGAGUUUUAUAGGUUAUUUUUAAUUUGGCUUUUUUAUGCAAAGAAAGGUUAUGUAGAACAGCAAAAUAAUAUUAUUCGAACAGGUUACACAAAAUCACUCUCAGGUAGUGUAGUUCUUUAAAUUUACUUUGUAUGUAUGCUAAGUAUUUCUUACCUUAAUUUUCAUGACCCACAAUUCAUGUAUAAUUUGUUGGAAAAUUCAUUGGAAAAUACUUAUAUAAUUAAUAGCCCUUGAAAUUUAAUUCUAAAGAUCAUGAUUGUGCUCUUCAUUGGUCAUGAAAUGUAGCUUUCCAUUUCAUGGUAAUUUUAUGCCCCAUCAAAUCCCACUUUGUUAUUUGUUCUCAAUUUUUUUAUGCCCAUGAAAGUACUUUUCAUGGAUCAUAAAUUUUAUCACUUCAGAUUUCAUGGAUAUUUCAUGACAAUUUAAAAGCAACUUUACAGUGUUCCAGAUUUUUCAUGGCCUUGAAAGAUUUUUUCAUGGGUGUUUAAUGACAUCAGUUCAAAUUUCAUGGAAAACGAUGAUUGUAUCAAGAGCUGGCUGGCUAUGACUUGUGUUUCUAAAGUUUCCUUGGCACAGGUGUAGCCCCCUGAGCUGUCUAGGAUGCAAACCAUGGCCCAUUCUAAAUCAAUAGGGUACAAUAUACAAGCACCUGAUUGUGGCCAAUUUCUAAGAUUGUACAAAGGCGUUGGAGGUCCAUAAUAUGCAGACACCCAUUAAGAACUUGUCAAGGGUGGUACCAUUUUCACACACAAUU